AUUGAACGCUGGCGGCAUGCCUAACACAUGCAAGUCGAACGGCAGCGCGGACUUCGGUCUGGCGGCGAGUGGCGGACGGGUGAGGAAUGCAUCGGAAUCUGCCCCGACGUGGGGGAUAACGUAGGGAAACUUACGCUAAUACCGCAUACGUCCUAACGGGGAAAGCAGGGGAUCGAAAGACCUUGCGCGGCGGGAUGAGCCGAUGCCGGAUUAGCUAGUUGGCGGGGUAAAGGCCCACCAAGGCGACGAUCCGUAGCUGGUCUGAGAGGAUGAUCAGCCACACUGGGACUGAGACACGGCCCAGACUCCUACGGGAGGCAGCAGUGGGGAAUAUUGGACAAUGGGGGCAACCCUGAUCCAGCAAUGCCGCGUGUGUGAAGAAGGCCUCGGUUGUAAG
rnacentral:rRNA from 1 species